GGUGAACUUGGGACCGGGAGAGGCAAGAGGUACUUUUGGGGUAGGGGGUAAAAUCCUGUAAUCCUAAAAGGACCACCGGUGGCGAAGGCGUCUUGCUAGAACGGAUCCGACGGUGAGGGACGAAGCCCUGGGUCGCAAACGGGAUUAGAUACCCCGGUAGUCCAGGGUGUAAACGCUGCAGACUUGGUGUUGGGGACCCUUCGGGGGUGUCAGUGCCGGAGAGAAGUUGUUAAGUCUGCUACUUGGGGAGUACGUCCGCAAGGAUGAAACUUAAAGGAAUUGGCGGGGGAGCCACCGCAACGGGAGGAACGUGCGGUUUAAUUGGAUUCAACACCGGAAAACUCACCAGCAGCGACUAUUACAUGAAAGUCAGGCCGAUGACCUUACUAGAUUUUUAGAGGGGAGGUGCAUGG
rnacentral:rRNA from 1 species